rnacentral:rRNA from 1 species
UACGGAGGGUGCGAGCGUUGUCCGGAAUCAUUGGGCGUAAAGGGCGCGUAGGUGGCCCCUCAAGCGUGCGGUGAAGUCAGGGGCUCAACCCCUGAUCGGCCGUGCGAACUGGGGAGCUUGAGCACUGUAAAGGCAGGCGGAAUUCCGGGUGUAGCGGUGGAAUGCGUAGAGAUCCGGAAGAACACCGGUGGCGAAGGCGGCCUGCUGGGCAGUUUGCUGACACUGAGGCGCGACAGCGUGGGGAGCAAACAGGG